rnacentral:tRNA from 1 species
GCAAGUAUAGUUUAAUCAAAACAUUAGUCUGUGAUCCUAAAAAUAGAAGUUAAAUUCUUCUUGCCUGCC